UGUGUGGUGGUAAACGGAGGGGUUCUCGAAGUCUCUGUGGGGAACUCAACCUUGGUGUUGGGCGGUCUGGGCGUUUCCGAUCAGCAAUGACGGUACGUUUAGUCCUGCUUGGCUCCCGGGUGCAUUUUCCCCGCAGUUUACGGCAGGAACCGUUUGGCUCGAAUCGAAGGCCUCGGGUGAAGUUGUCGGUUCUGCUGGCAGCCCUGGGUGUCCUGGCUUCGCGCUCGACGGGUACGUGAGAGGACUCGUAUAGCGAGCAACGCUCUGUUGCGGUUCUCAUCUCUCUGCCGAGUAGGUCGGCGG
rnacentral:rRNA from 1 species